rnacentral:rRNA from 1 species
CCUACGGGAGGCAGCAGUGGGGAAUUUUCCGCAAUGGGCGAAAGCCUGACGGAGCAACGCCGCGUGAGGGAUGAAGGCCUCUGGGCUGUAAACCUCUUUUAUCAAGGAAGAAGAUCUGACGGUACUUGAUGAAUAAGCCACGGCUAAUUCCGUGCCAGCAGCCGCGGUAAUACGGGAGUGGCAAGCGUUAUCCGGAAUUAUUGGGCGUAAAGCGUCCGCAGGCGGUCUUGUAAGUCUGUCGUUAAAGCGUGGAGCUCAACUCCAUUUCGGCGGUGGAAACUACAAGACUAGAGUGUGGUAGGGGCAGAGGGAAUUCCCGGUGUAGCGGUGAAAUGCGUAGAUAUCGGGAAGAACACCAGUGGCGAAGGCGCUCUGCUGGGCCAUAACUGACGCUCAUGGACGAAAGCUAGGGGAGCGAAAGGGGAUUAGAUACCCCUGUAGUCCUAGCCGUAAACGAUGAACACUAGGUGUCGGGGGAAUCGACCCCCUCGGUGUCGUAGCUAACGCGUUAAGUGUUCCGCCUGGGGAGUACGCACGCAAGUGUGAAACUCAAAGGAAUUGACGG